UGGGGACUAGUUCAAUUGGUAGAACACACCGCUCUGAACGGUCGAGGCUUGCUGGUUCGAGUCCAGCGUCCCCAA
rnacentral:tRNA from 1 species